UCCCUGGUAGCCUAGUGGUUAGGACUUGGUACUUCCACUGCUAUAGACCAGGUUCAGUCCCUGGUCUGGGAA
rnacentral:tRNA from 1 species